AUGGACAAUUAUGGAGUCUGCGGAGCGGACGGAUUUAAAAUCUAUCGCCAAAGGCGGUACUUUAAUUGUCAAUUAUCAAUUAUCAAUUGUAAAUUGUGAAGCAAAACACAGAGUGUUUUGCUUCACCUAGUGGCGGACGGGUGAGUAACACGUGAGCAACCUGCCGAGGAGUGGGGGAUAACGUUUGGAAACGAACGCUAAUACCGCAUAAUAUCACGGGGAGACAUCUCCCUGUGAUCAAAGGAGAAAUCCGCUUUUUGAUGGGCUCGCGCCCGAUUAGAUAGUUGGUGAGGUAAUGGCUCACCAAGUCUGCGAUCGGUAGCCGGACUGAGAGGUUGAUCGGCCACAUUGGGACUGAGACACGGCCCAGACUCCUACGGGAGGCAGCAGUGGGGAAUAUUGCACAAUGGGGGAAACCCUGAUGCAGCGACGCCGCGUGAGUGAAGACGGUCUUCGGAUUGUAAAGCUCUGCCGAGGGGGACGAUAAUGACGGUACCCCUCAAGAAAGCCACGGCUAACUACGUGCCAGCAGCCGCGGUAAUACGUAGGUGGCGAGCGUUGUCCGGA
rnacentral:rRNA from 1 species